UACGUAGGGAGCGAGCGUUGUCCGGAAUUACUGGGCGUAAAGGGUGUGUAGGCGGCUUGGCAAGUCAGAUGUGAAAUCCCCGGGCUUAACUCGGGAGUUGCAUUUGAAACUGCUAGGCUUGAGUGCAGGAGAGGAAAGCGGAAUUCCUAGUGUAGCGGUGAAAUGCGUAGAUAUUAGGAGGAACACCAGUGGCGAAGGCGGCUUUCUGGACUGUAACUGACGCUGAGGCACGAAAGCGUGGGGAGCAAAC
rnacentral:rRNA from 1 species